AGCAUGUUGGCCUGAUAGUAAAAUGCACUUUACACUCCUACAUUGAAUCAUAAAGUUCUUCGCGUCAAGGGUCCUGCCUACCUGUGCCACUGUUCUCCAUGAAGGGCAAUAGAGAAUGGAUUUAUCCAGCUAUUCUGGUCAUCACAAAUAGUCCCGCCUUUGCUGAAUGGUGGGAUAUCUUCAUUGUGGUUCUCUAAAAUGGCUGAGUAAUCAUGGACUACUACCUGUGACAGGUCCUCCUCUGAUCCCAUGUUCAUAAAGUUCAUGUUCAUAGCUGCAUGUACCUACUCCUUCAGUGCAGGUCCAUGUAUACCCACCUCAGUGCUCUUCAACAAUUCUUCUCAGAAGUUCGUAUUCCAGCACUCCUCACAGGAUAGCUGGGAGACAGAAAGGAAGGAAGAGUACAGGAGGAAAAGUAGCAUUCAUUAUGUGCUGUCAUUUUUAUCAAAUAGUUACCUGACUUUUUUUUUUUUUUUAACACCUUUUGCAAUACUUGGUGAAUUUCAAAUGAUGGAGAGAAAUAAAUAUAACAUGAUGGAGUAAUUCCUGUAAAUACUAAUAAAAAACAUGUGGAGCUUACAAAAUGGUUACUAGACUUCAUACUGGGUUGGAUUAUGAGUUCAAUGACUUGCUCAUAUUUCUAUAUUCCUGUUCAAAUCAUAAAGUCUUCUAGAUAGUUAUUUCAUGUUCUGUAACAUCUCUGUAAAGAAAAUAAAGCCCUUAGCACACUGUGGUAUUUGGGACAGAUUGAUAUAUGCUCUGUUCAUUUUCAAACCUGCAGCUGUGCUUAAGAGAUUGUGUUUGAGCUUUGUUUUAUUUUAGAAUUUUGCUUUCUUUACUGCAGAGGCACAAGCAGAAUAAAUACACGGGUCAGACUUGUUAGAUGAGGAAGACAAAAGAGACAUUCAAGGGAUGCAUUUUGUGAAAUGGGUAUUGAUUUGGUAAUAACCUGUUUUAAUUGCAUGGUAGAAGGAAAAGGAACACAAUUAUUGUUCUGCGGGCAAAGAAAUGCCUUUUUGUGUUUGGAAACAAUUCCUAACACAGAAAAAAAAUAUCUUAUGUGCAUCUCUUCAAGGGAUUUAAAUGCAAAUUAACCAUGAUAAAUUCUACAUGUGUUUCAUGCCACGCAACAAUACCUACUAAGAGAAAAAAGAAGAAUAAAAGGUACUAAAAAGAGCUGUUUCAGCCUUCAAAAACUAGCUAAUCAGGUAUCACAGCAGUGGAGAUUAAUCAAAGUUUCUUUAAUUGCUUGUUAACUGGACUUUGUGUUGUGAAAUACAUUGUAUUACUCAGUUGUAGUAAGCUGACUGAGGAAAAAAAAAGACCACUGUGGUUUAACAGGAUACAGAUUUAUUUAUUUAUUUAUUUAUUUUUUAAUGAGACUGAAAUGCAAUGUAAAAAGACAUCUGUGGGCUGUGGUUUACAAUAGGAGGCAACUUACCUCACUUCUUUCUUUUCUUUUCUCUUGUUAUCCUGAAAGUUCACACCAGCAGGGUUGCCAUGUGGGUACAGAACAAGAUAAUUGGUCUAAAAUAAGGUGUUUCAGUGCUUCUUAAAAGCUGCUCUGCAGCCACCAAAGACACCAUACUGCCAGCAAACAUUAGCAGAGCUAAACAGAGAUUACAGCUCUGUGAAUUAGAAUUGGCUGACUCAAUUUUGGCAUAAGUGCUAGAAAACUAAGCAGGGCUAUUUUCUGCAGCACUUCUUCCAGAUAUGAUACUGUGUCUUUUAGACAUUACUGGUUAUUUUGGGGUUUGGUUUUCUUGGAGAGAUCUGGAUCAUUGUCUUUGUCCUUCCUCUGUUACCUGAUGUUGCUCACUAGGGAACUGGAAAGACAUAAAGCAGAAUUCACAGGUAAAGUGUGGUCCAAUAACUCAUAAAUGCACCUUGCUGAAUUUUGGCCUUGCCUGUAAUACCUGUGGGAACAGCAAGGUAUCACAGGUUGUUUUGUGGUAUAAUUUAUUUCCUGAUUUUCUACUUAAUUGUAAACCAAAAGUUUAAUUUAUAAUCAAAGUGCA